rnacentral:rRNA from 1 species
GAAUUCACUAGUGAUUCAGGCCUAACACAUGCAAGUCGAACGCAUUUCUUUUCACCGGAGCUUGCUCCACCGAAAAGAAAUGAGUGGCGGACGGGUGAGUAACACGUGGGCAACCUGCCCAUCAGAGGGGGAUAACACUUGGAAACAGGUGCUAAUACCGCAUAAUUGAUUUUACCGCAUGGUGGAAUCAUAAAAGACGCUUUAAGUGUCACUGAUGGAUGGGCCCGCGGUGCAUUAGUUAGUUGGUGGGGUAAUGGCCUACCAAGACCAUGAUGCAUAGCCGACCUGAGAGGGUGAUCGGCCACACUGGGACUGAGACACGGCCCAGACUCCUACGGGAGGCAGCAGUAGGGAAUCUUCGGCAAUGGACGGAAGUCUGACCGAGCAACGCCGCGUGAGUGAAGAAGGUUUUCGGAUCGUAAAACUAAGGGUUAGAGAAGAAUAAGUGAUAGAGUAACUGUUAUCACCUUGACGGUAUCUAACCAGAAGC